ensembl:lncRNA
UAGCUUAUAUAUAAAUAUUAUGUGUUUGUGGAAAUAUAAUUUUCAAGGAUUUACCUGAUUAUGUGUACGUCUAGCCGAUUCCACCAUUUCUGUCUUCAGUCGGGCCUUAAUGGCAGGAAGGUUGUCUGCGCUGAUGGUCCAUGAACGACGCAACAUCCAAAAGCUCCUGGGUGUUGAGGUCACUAUACUUGUCGUUGAGGUAUGCCAGGACCUUGGUUUUAAUUGAUCUAGUCAGAUCAGUGUCCUCAGCAUCUUCAGCCAAGACUGAUGUUGCCAGAAGAUGGAGAACUGGCUUGAGGUAGGAGAUGCUCACAUACUCUUCUCCAGAAAGAGCAUCAGUAAAUUCGGAGAGAGGAUGCAGUGCCUUAUGAAUGGACUCCAACACUUCAGCAUCCUGCCAGGUUGGGAUGAGGGAGCGUGCAUGUCGGUCACCUGUCAAUACCUGCGAUAUGGCUUUCAUCUGUUCCAGCACUCUGGCAAUCAUUUUCUCUUUGGACCCCCAUCUUGUAGGGCACUCAGUAAUGAGAGAGUGCUCAGGAAGCUUAAGCUCCUUCUGUGCCUCAGUGAGUGCUGCCUUUUUCUUCCAACUGUGCGAGAAGUGCCCCACCAACUUCUUGCACAGCCCAAUUGCUCUUGAUACUCUACCAUCUUUGAUUGCAUUUUCUGGAGGAAAAAAAAAUAAAGUAAAAAGUAAAAUUAGUGUUAGACAUACAAUUGCAGUUAUGAUGCAAGGUUUCACCAUUUCUCUCUCUCUCUCAAAUUCAAAGUUGCUUUAUUAGCAUGACUAUGGGAACAGUGUUGCCAAAGCUAUUGUUACAUACAUCAUGACAUACAAGAACAUAAGACCAUAAGACAAAAAACAAAAAGAAAAUACAUAAGAAGAGGUGGGUACAUCAGUGUGGGGUUGACAUAACAUAUCUAGAAUUAACAGCAGUAAAGAACAAGAUAAAUAAUAGUGUGGUGUGUUUGUGGGAGAGAGUGAUACACAGGCUCGCGCAUACAUGCAUGCAC